UACAGAGGCCCCAAGCGUUACUGAGAAUCACUGGGUUUAAAGGGUGCGUAGGUGGUCCGUUAAGUUCGUUGUGAAAUCCCUGGGCUCAACCCAGGAAAUGCUUCGAAUACUGGCGGACUUGAGGCUAGUAGAGGUCACUGGAACUGACGGUGGAGCGGUGAAAUGCGUAGAUAUCGUCAGGAACGCCGGUGGUGAAGACGGGUGACUGGGCUAGUUCUGACACUGAGGCACGAAAGCGUGGGGAGCAAAAGGG
rnacentral:rRNA from 1 species